rnacentral:rRNA from 1 species
GAGUUCGGGCCGCACGCGCGCUACACUGACAGAGCCAGCGAGUCUACCACCUUUGCCGGAAGGCAUGGGUAAUCUUGUGAAACUCUGUCGUGAUGGGGAUAGAGCAUUGCAAUUAUUGCUCUUCAACGAGGAAUACCUAGUAAGCGUGAUUCAUCAGAUCGCGUUGAUUACGUCCCUGCCCUUUGUACACACCGCCCGUCGCUACUACCGAUUGAAUGGCUUAGUGAGGCCUCGGAUUGGCUAUUGGGAGCUCGCGAGAGCACCCGACUGCUGAGAAGUUGUACGAACUUGGUCAUUUAGAGGAAGUAAAAGUCGUAACAAGGUUUCCGUAGGUGAACCUGCGGAAGGAUCAUUAGUGAAUAAUAGGACGUUCCAUUUAACUGGAAGUCCGAACUCUCACUUUCUAACCCUGUGCAUUUGUUUUGGCUAGUAGGAUGCUUGCGUCCGAACACCUCUUCAUUUACAAACACAAAGUCUAUGAAUGUUUAAUUUUAUAACAAAACAAAACUUUCAACAACGGAUCUCUUGGCUCUCGCAUCGAUGAAGAACGCAGCGAAAUGUGAUAAGUAAUGUGAAUUGCAGAAUUCAGUGAAUCAUCGAAUCUUUGAACGCAUCUUGCACUCCUUGGUAUUCCGAGGAGUAUGCCUGUUUGAGUGUCAUGAAUUCUUCAACCCUCUCUUUUCUUAGUGAUUAGAGAGGAGCUUGGGAUUCUGAGUGUUGCUCCUUACCCGAGCUCAUUCGUAAUAUAUUAGCAUCCAUAUUCGAACUUUCGGAUUGACUUGGCGUAAUAAACUAUUCCCUGAAGGAAUCUAACUUCGGUUAGGGCCGGGGUUUGACUAAGAAACCUCCUAAUCUAACUUAAUCCACUUUUUAAAUAAAAUCUCAAAUCAGGGAGGGAUUACCCCCUGAACUUUA